rnacentral:lncRNA from 1 species
CUGGCGUUCUGCCGACGGAGUAUGUGCCCAGCACUCCUCUUUUCGGCAUAGCUAUAUUUUUUGGUUUGGGCGCUGGUUGAUGGUAAGCCAUCACCCGCCGCUUCACCGGAAGGUUGAGCAGCCGCAAUAUUGUUUAGCUGCCCUACCAUGGUAUCAGUUUUGGUGUUGGCUUUCAACCCAUCCCAGGUUUAGGAUGUGACCCACCCGGAUUCAUACCCGCGUCCUUCACCGUGCAGGUCUUUCCUGCGUCUGAGCGGAUCGGGCCAGGCCUUUGGGCCGUUGCCUUCUCCCGCUUGGGAUUUCUCCCUGCAGGCAUUUGGGGAGUGCCUCUCUCGUUUUUGUUUUUGUUGUUGUCAAUAUUUAGUAGUUUAUUCAUCAAAUUCCC